rnacentral:rRNA from 1 species
AUAGAGAGUCGGACCUGCCCGGUGAAGUAUUUUUAACGGCCGCGGUACUCUGACCGUGCAAAGGUAGCAUAAUCAUUUGCCUUAUAAUUGAAGGCUUGUAUGAAUGGUUUGACAAGAAUGAAUCUGUCUCUUUAUAACUAAGUAUAAUUUUAUUUAUAGGUGAAGAAGCCUGUAUUAAAUUGAAAGACAAGAAGACCCUAUCGAGCUUAAAAACAGUUAAUAAAAUUAAAAUCAUAUUUAUAUUGAAUUGGUUAUUAAAAAUUUUAGUUGGGGCGACGAAGGAACAAACAAAGCUUCCUUAAUAUCUUUAUACACACAAGUUAUGAUCCAUAUAUCUUGAUUAAAGGAAUUAGUUACCGUAGGGAUAACAGCAUUAUCUUUUUUGAGAGUUCAAAUCGAAAAAAAGGUUUGUGACCUCGAUGUUGGACCAGAAUAUCCUAAAGAUGUAGCCGUCUUUAAGGGUUGGUCUGUUCGACCAUUAAAAUUCUACGUGAUCUGAGUUCAGACCGGCGUGAGCCAGGUCAGUUUCUAUCUUCCAUUUUUGAUUUGGACUUAGUACGAAAGGAUCAGUCUAUAGUAAAAGUUACUAAAGUUGAUAAAGUAUAAAAUAAAAUUUAAUAAAUAUAAAUUUAAAUCAAAUUAGCAAAGAUAAUGCAAUUGACUUAGGAUCAAUAGACAUAGGUGAAAUUCCUUUAUUUGAUACACUUAUAAAGAUGGCAGAUAAA